rnacentral:rRNA from 1 species
GAACGCUGGCGGCAUGCCUUACACAUGCAAGUCGAACGGUAACAGGUCUUCGGAUGCUGACGAGAGGCGAACGGGUGAGUAAUACAUCGGAACGUGCCUAGUAGUGGGGGAUAACUACUCGAAAGAGUGGCUAAUACCGCAUGAGAUCUACGGAUGAAAGCAGGGGAUCGCAAGACCUUGUGCUACUAGAGCGGCUGAUGGCAGAUUAGGUAGUUGGUGGGAUAAAAGCUUACCAAGCCGACGAUCUGUAGCUGGUCUGAGAGGACGAUCAGCCACACUGGGACUGAGACACGGCCCAGACUCCUACGGGAGGCAGCAGUGGGGAAUUUUGGACAAUGGGCGAAAGCCUGAUCCAGCAAUGCCGCGUGCAGGAUGAAGGCCUUCGGGUUGUAAACUGCUUUUGUACGGAACGAAAAGCUUCGGGUUAAUACCCUGGAGCCAUGACGGUACCGUAAGAAUAAGCACCGGCUAACUACGUGCCAGCAGCCGCGGUAAUACGUAGGGUGCAAGCGUUAAUCGGAAUUACUGGGCGUAAAGCGUGCGCAGGCGGUUUUGUAAGACAGAGGUGAAAUCCCCGGGCUCAACCUGGGAACUGCCUUUGUGACUGCAAGGCUAGAGUACGGCAGAGGGGGAUGGAAUUCCGCGUGUAGCAGUGGAAUGCGUAGAUAUGCGGAGGAACACCGAUGGCGAA